UACGAAGGGGGCUAGCGUUGCUCGGAAUCACUGGGCGUAAAGCGCACGUAGGCGGACUCUUAAGUCGGUGGUGAAAUCCUGGAGCUCAACUCCAGAACUGCCUUCGAUACUGGGGAUCUCGAGUCCGGGAGAGGUGAGUGGAACUGCGAGUGUAGAGGUGAAAUUCGUAGAUAUUCGCAAGAACACCAGUGGCGAAGGCGGCUCACUGGCCCGGAACUGACGCUGAGGUGCGAAAGCGUGGGGGAGCAAACAGGG
rnacentral:rRNA from 1 species